UCUUUUGCGUUUAAUGCUCUUCAUUUUCCGAUGAACGCAUGUUUCCAAGAAACAUUAUUGUGACCCUGGGGCAUCGAAUGCAUUUUGGGGUUACCCCAUUUUGAACUCCCUUUAGUUUGGAGUGUCGCUAUUGAGUUGUGCACCAGUUCCAUUUUCAUCCCGUGAAGAAAAAAAACAAAUGCACUUCUAUUUACAUCUUGGACGUCAACGACACUGGAGCUAGACCCCGUCAAUGGUCGUAUCCCCUCCAACCUCAACAGAAAAGGUGGAAGAAGACACUAAAGCUGUCAUUUUUAACUCCAAAAAGCUUCGAUUUUUGUCUCAUUUUUAUCUCAAAUAGAGAAGGUGGAAGAAGACACUAAAGCUGCCAUUUUUAACUCCAAAAAGCUUCGAUUUUUAUCUCAAACAUAUUUGUUUUCUUUGUUUCUCUAUCUACAUAGAAGGUGAAAGAAAACACUAAGCUGUCAUUUUUAACUCCAAAAAGCUUCGAUUUUUAUCUCAUUUUUAUCUCAAACAGUUGAAGCAAUGACAGGAAUUCUUGACACAAAAUCAGUUGACUCCGGUGAUGGGGUAGCAUUCUACUUAAUGUGUAUGGGAGUUGAUAAUCAGGAAACAACAAAAUUGGAGUGAUGAUGACUCCAUUUGAUUGAUGAAGAAAUUUUUAUGUUACUUUGUUAAUGUGUUAUGUUUAUUAUCAUUUUGUUACUUUGUUAGUGUCUUAUGGUGUUAUUGAUAUCUAUCUAGAUAUUUGAAGACUAUUAUACUGUGGACUAACUUUGGAAUUAUUAGUGUAUAGAUUCUAACAGAUUCGCUACAUUAUGUUUGCA